rnacentral:rRNA from 1 species
CGGGACGGGUGAGUAAUGUCUGGGAAACUGCCUGAUGGAGGGGAUAACUACUGGAAACGGUAGCUAAUACCGCAUAACGUCGCAAGACCAAAGAGGGGGACCUUAGGGCCUCUUGCCAUCGGAUGUGCCCAGAUGGGAUUAGCUAGUAGGUGGGGUAACGGCUCACCUAGGCGACGAUCCCUAGCUGGUCUGAGAGGAUGACCAGCCACACUGGAACUGAGACACGGUCCAG